AUUUAAAUAGCUUAUAUUUAGAGCGUAACACUGAAGAUGUUAAAGAGAUUUAUAUUAAUCUUUAAAUA
rnacentral:tRNA from 1 species